ACUUCUGCACAAACUUCUAGCUCAACAAUCUGCGUCACACUCCCCAUCCACACAGCUCAAAACAGCUUCAAACAUCAUUAAAACACAUUCAGGAAUCUCUACUCUAAUAUGUUUUGACACAACAGGAGCAUUUUGCCCCCCUUUUCCUGACAGAACCAAAUUGCAUUAGUAUUUAAAUUUGUCAUGCUUUUCGCAGCAGAAUGGACGGCUCUAACUCUCUGGAUAUUGCUAAUAGAGCCCAGGGUUCUUCCCAUACAAUCUCUCCCAGCCCUGACGGCUUAAGAUGGGAUUGGGGCAACACGACGCCAUUCCACACACCAAAAAAAAAAACCCUGCCUUAAAAUGACUACUGACUCUAUUCCAGCGUCGUCCGCACAAGUUAAAGAUCAUUUUAAUUGUCAAGUCUCAAACGUUAUGCAGUCGUGGCAAUGAGAUUUAACAUGCUGUACUGAAACUGUGGCGUGAACAUAUGCGCAACUUUUAAUUGCCCAUGAAUAAAAUAUUUGAUCAAUACUA